GAAACACUAACUUCCCUAAUCUUCUUUCACAAUAAAAACCGCAGAGAAUCCCGGCAUCAGCCCCUAUAAAUCAACCUCUGCAACAAAGCCAUUCCAUUAUACUAACAUUUAUCUCUUCCUCUUUCUCUCUCUCUCUCUCUCUCUCUCUCUCUCUCUCUCUCUUCUUGCUUUCUUCAAGCAAUGGCCAAAACCAUGCCAUUAGUUCUGUUCAUGCUCCUUGUCAGUGUCUUUGCUGAAGAGCUUUACACUCUUCCUUCACCUCACCCUCCCACAUCAGCCCCACUUCACCCCCCAACUUACCCACCUGCAAACGCCCCUCACCACCAUCACCACCACCACCACUCACCGGCACCAGCCCCUGCACCUCUCCACCCGCAUUACCCUCCAGCCCCUGCUCACCCUCCAACUCAUCAUCAUCACCAUCACCCUUCUGCUCCUGUUCAUCCUCCUCUCAACCCUCCGCUUGUUCCAGUUCACCCUCCUCUUAACCCUCCAGUUCCACUUCAUCCUCCUGUCAAGCCUCCUGUUCCCGUUCACCCUCCCGUUCCAGUUCCAGUUCACCCUCCUGUCAAGCCUUCGGUUCCAGUUCACCCUCCUGUCAAGCCUUCGGUUCCAGUUCACCCUCCUGUCAAGCCUCCGGUUCCAGUUCACCCUCCGGUUCCUGCUCACCCUCCUGUUCCAGUGCACCCCUUCCCUAGAAGCUUUGUGGCAGUUCAAGGUGUUGUCUACGUCAAGUCCUGCAAGUAUGCUGGAGUUGACACUCUCUUAGGAGCCACACCACUGCUUGGUUAGUCUCCUUUAUCUACUUUUUAACCUUGCUUCCUUUUGUCUGCUGCAAGCUUAUCAUAUACUGAUACUAAAUGUUUUGAAUACCUUAUUGCUGUUCCAUCCAAGUACACAUUUUUUGCUUCCAGGGAAGUAAACUGUUUAAAAAAUAAUGUCUUGCAGAUUUUGUUUUAUACUUUUUAGAUCUGGUCUUUUUAUUUGUUUCUCUACUAUUUUUCGGCUAUCUAAUUUGUUUGCUGUUUAGUACAUUUCUAGUUCAACCAGACGAGGAUCUAGGUAGAUCAAGUUAACUUUUUUUAUUUUAUUUUGUAUAUUUCUGAAAUUUUUUUAUUUGUAUGGAUACCUAUGCCCGAGGGAUGUUAUUAAUAUUUCCCGUGCAUUUACAUCGUAUUCAAGUUGAGAAUAGUCAUGGUAUGUGUUAUACUCUCAAGUUGCUCUUUCCAAUGCAUGGCUGUAGCUUGAUUUAAGGAAAGAAAAUUUUUCAAAAGCAAAACCCGGAAGAAAUGAGUGUGUUUUUCAACAUAAUGUAGUGAUCUUUAGUUUCGCAUCUCAAGGCAAAAUAAACCAAUGAGUUGGUUUGUGUAUGUGAUUGAGAGAGAGAAAGGGAGAUUUCAAAACAGCAAUUACUUUGUGGUAAAGUUGAUUUGUCGUUUCACGAAAGCUGCACGGUUUCUGAGAUCAGGACUUUGUUUGUUGUGACUGUUUUCACCAUUGUGUAAUGGUGACCCUUUUUACUCUUAUUGUGAAAUGACAAUGUUAUCCCAAUCUUGAUAAACGACAAGAGAUGAGUGUGGUGAUGGUUUGAAACUGCAGGUGCUGUUGUGAAGCUCCAAUGCAACAACACGAAGUACAAGCUGGUCGAAACCACCAAGAGUGACAAGAACGGUUACUUCUACGUGGAAGCGCCGAGGAGGAUCACAACGUACGGGGCUCACAAGUGCAAUGUGGUUCUGGUUAGUGCACCCGGUGGCCUGAAAGCCUCAAAUCUCCAUGGUGGUGUCACUGGUGCUGUUCUGAGGCCAGAGAAGCCAUUUUUGUCUAAGAAGCUUCCCUUUGUGCUCUACACUGUUGGGCCUCUGGCGUUUGAGCCAAAAUGCCAUUAUUAGAAACAAAAGAUUUGAAUGGAUUGUGUAUGGGUUUGUUUCUGUUGUGGCUUAUGUAUCUCAAUCUUUAUGUGUUUUCCGUUUGUAGUGUUCUGAGUUUGAACUGAUAUCAUACACAAAAUAAGUGACAUAGUUCUCGUAUGAAUUGUUAAUUUAGUGUAAAAGAAAUGUUGUUUAUGCUUUUUUAUUAAGAUGCUGCUGUCUCUUUUUUACUAUUGGUCUUCAUUCUUCAAUGUUCCUAUAAUCUUCUAUUGGUUUAGC
rnacentral:lncRNA from 1 species